GACAGAGGGUGCAAACGUUGCUCGGAAUCACUGGGCGUAAAGGGCGUGUAGGCGGGAAUGUAAGUCGGGCGUGAAAUCCCUAGGCUCAACCUAGGAACUGCACUCGAAACUGCGUUUCUUGAGUGCCGGAGAGGAAAGCGGAAUACCUGGUGUAGAGGUGAAAUUCGUAGAUAUCAGGUGGAACACCAGUGGCGAAGGCGGCUUUCUGGACGGUAACUGACGCUGAGACGCGAAAGCGUGGGGAGCAAACAGG
rnacentral:rRNA from 1 species